rnacentral:rRNA from 1 species
UUUCGCAAUGCCCGAAAGGGUGACGAAGCGACGCCGCGUGAGUGAGGAAGGCCUUCGGGUUGUAAAGCUCUGUCAGGAGUUAAGAAAUAUAAGUGUGCUAAUACCACAUUUAUUUGACAAAAGCUCCAAAGGAAGCCACGGCUAACUCUGUGCCAGCAGCCGCGGUAAUACAGGGGUGGCAAGCGUUGUUCGGAAUUAUUGGGCGUAAAGAGCACGUAGGUGGGUUUGUAAGUCAGAUGUGAAAGCCUUCUGUUCAACGGAAGAAUUGCAUCUGAAACUGCGAGUCUUGAGUGUAGGAGGGGAGAAUGGAACUUCUGGUGGAGCGGUGAAAUGCGUAGAUAUCAGAAGGAACGCCGGCGGCGAAAGCGAUUCUCUGGCCUAUUACUGACACUCAGUGUGCGAAAGCUAGGGGAGCAAACGGGAUUAGAUACCCCGGUAGUCCUAGCUGUAAACGAUGGGCACUAAGUAGAGGGGUUUUA